rnacentral:lncRNA from 1 species
UGAUGACAGUUUGUAUUCAUUUUUAUGGCAGUAAUUAGGUGGAGAUUUGUUGUUUUAUAAAGGUUAUUCUUAAGUCAAACUAAUUUAUGAGGCAAAUCUGUUUCCUUCGAUAAACUUCUCUUCCUUUGGAAACAGUAACGGACUAACUACAUGUAUUUUGACUCAUUGAUUUGUAAAGAUUUCUUACUUUGAUUGUAUCGAUAACUUAUAUCAUAGAUAGUAUUGGGUUCAAAUAGCAACAAAUUGUUAUUAACCGGUGAAAAUGUUUAAUAAUAAGUGGAUGGAUCAUCUGUGGCCGAUGGGGAAUAUGUAUUUACGGAUUUCUUACUUGAAAAAAAAAAUCCAACCUGUAUCAAUGUUAGUGACUAUGGUAACAAUAAUAUUGUAUUCUUUAGUAUGUACGAUAAUAUAAUCAGAAUAAUCUGCAACCAAAACGUUGACAAAGAUGAAAAAAUAGAACCAAAACGAGUGGUCCAACACCAAGAAACCCGCAUCUUAACGUGCUUCCAAGUAUUUACUUGAAUCUAUCUAUUUAUUGUCAUACUAUUUCAAUAUAUACCCCCAUUUAGUUUCUUUAGUUUAUAUUAUUAUUGUCUGUGUCUCUCCAUACACAAAAUCUUGCUUAUUAGUGUUAUGUAUUAUGAUGAUAUACUUUGUGGACAAA